GACGAACGCUGGCGGCGUGCUUAACACAUGCAAGUCGAACGGAAAGGCCCUGCUUUUGUGGGGUGCUCGAGUGGCGAACGGGUGAGUAACACGUGAGUAACCUGCCCUUGACUUUGGGAUAACUUCAGGAAACUGGGGCUAAUACCGGAUAGGAGCUCCUGCUGCAUGGUGGUGGUUGGAAAGUUUCGGCGGUUGGGGAUGGACGCGCGGCUUAUCAGCUUGGUGGUGGGGUAGUGGCUUACCAAGGCUUUGACGGGUAGCCGGCCUGAGAGGGUGGCCGGCCACAUUGGGCCUGAGAUACGGCCCAGACUCCUACGGGAGGCAGUGGUGGGGAAUAUUGCACAAUGGGCGGAAGCCUGAUGCAGCAACGCCGCGUGCGGGAUGACGGCCUUCGGGUUGUAAACCGCUUUCGCCUGUGACGAAGCGUGAGUGACGGUAAUGGGUAAAGAAGCACCGGCUAACUACGUG
rnacentral:rRNA from 1 species